UCUCGCUCACCAUGUUUUGAAAGAGCGAACGGGCCAGAGGACUGCGGACGUACUUCCCCGUCCACAUCCUCCUGAUGGAGAGCAGGAAGACGACGUAACCCAGCAGCCAAGCUCCAAAAACCAGCGUCCUCAGCUGUAGAGGACACAUAUGGACAACAAGUCUGAGCAGGACAGCAGGAGGUCAGCGGCUGUAGUGUUGAAGAAGUGAACGGAAUGGCCAGUGGACAGCUCUGAGAUGUAUUAAAUAUUAGAUGAUGAUAAAGAAGCUGAAACAGGAGUUGUCGCCCAGAGCAGACGACAUUGAGACCAUUCAGCCACACCUGGAUAUAAUCACUUCACUAUGGAACAAAGAGGUCAUCUGAGUGACCUGGUGCUCGGUCCUGAAGCUCUUGUUUGAUGAGAUGUUCCUGGAUCAGUCUCUCCUUUCGCUUUGCUACUUUUUGCAUUAUGUGUAACACAUUUUUAUUUAAAUGUCAUUGUCUAUGAAUAACGUGCUUUGUUUUUAAUUAGAUUUUUUUGUUAUUUUUACAUUUAGAAUUAAAUAUUUUUUAUUAUUACAUAAAUAUAACAUGUUCUUUCACAAAUAUUUCAUGUAAUGACACUGUUUAAACAGGUGAUAUGGAAAAUGUAAUACAUAAAGAAGGGUAAAACAACAGUAUAUAACUGUAUGUUUACAUGAUUAACUAUCAUUAACUGUAACUGUAAUUAUCUCACAUGA